rnacentral:lncRNA from 1 species
CACACUGAUAUCUUGUGUGUGUGUGUGUGUGUGUGUGUGUGUGUGUGUGUUUUAAGUUGGAAGUACACUCAACAAGUCCAAUAUGGCAAACUAUUUGUGCUUGGCGGUCCUGAUGACUGUCUUAGGCUAGGCAGUUGGAGUUAAUGGAUUGUUCUUCUGGGAAGAAAAAAAAAAAAAAGGAAAAAGGCACGAUUAAUACAGAAUCUUAGGUGUUUGGGAAUCCGAGAUGUCUAAGUGAGAAUACAGCUUCCAGGAAUAGCCAUGGCCAACCAUUAGCUUCAGUGUCACAUUUAGGACUUGGUGAACUUGUAUGAAAUCCCUUUGAAAGCACCAUUCUCCCUCACUUUUUAGAAGAGUUUCAAAAAAGCAGAUCCCAGUAAUGCAUGCACAGAAAAAUGCCAUCUUGUCUGACAUUCUCUUCCUCCUGCUUUUCUAAGUCAAGUGCAACUCACUUCUAUCAAAUCAUUAUAAGAACUGUACUAAAAUAAUAAAAUUAGGAGUUCCUGUUGUGGAUCAGCAUGUUAAAAAGACAACAUAGUAUCCAUGAGGAUGCAGUUUUGAUUCUUGUCCUUGCUUGGUGAGUUAAGGAUCAGCUGUGGUGUAGGUCGAAGACACGGCCCGGAUCUGCCGUUGCUGUGGCUGUGGUGUAGGCCCGGCAGCUGCAGCUCUGAUUAGAUCCCUAGCCUGGGAACCUCCAUGUGCUGCCAGUGUGGCCCUAAAAAGACAAAAGACAAAAAUAAAUAAAUAAAAAUAAAAUAAAAUUAUACUCAGACUUUCUAAUCAAAGAGCCCUGUUGGUGGUAAGAAUUUAUUUGAUAUAAAUUUGCAUCCCCAAGUAUACCUUGUGGCAAAUUUUUAAACCAGGGAAUGAAUGAAUAUUUAAGGAAAAAAAAUUCUUGGUUGUUUUAGUUCCUUGCUGAGUUUCAAGCACGUUUAUACUCAUCUGUCCUCUGUGGAGGCAGGGUGGCCAGCCUCAUCACUACGAUAUGAAUCUAACAGGGGCUUUUCUUUUGAUGUUUUACACACCACACACACAAUAUGCACACAGAGUAUUGUUUUGUGAGAUGAAUUGUGUGUAAGAGUCUGAGAUAUCUAUCUGUAUCCUGGCUCUUUCCUAAUUGUGUAUCCUUGGGUACCUCACUGAACUAUCUUGUGUAUUUCAUCCACUUUAAAAUGGGGCUCUUAUUGGAAUUCCCACUGUGGCUCAGCGGUAUAAGAAUCCAAGAGGAUGUGGGUUUGAUCCCUGGCCUCUCUCGGGGUUAAAGGAUCUGGCAUUGCUGGGAGUUGUAGCAUAGGUGGUGGCUGUGGCUCGGAUCCCUCGUUACUUUGGCUGUGGCAUAGGCCUGCAGCUGCAGCUCUCGCUUGACCCCUAGACUCUGAACUUCCAUAUGCCAAGGGUGUGGUCCUAAAAAGACAGAAAAAAAAAAAAGGUAUUUUUAAGAGCCUACUAUAACACAAAUGCUUGUUUAUUAAAUGUAGAUAAUAUAUUAUGUCAGAGUUAUGCAAACAUAAGGCAUUAUUCCUUCCUUUUUUUCCCCCUCUUCCCCCAGGAAGACUGUUUAAGGUUUUGGAAAAAAAAUUUUUGUUUUUGUUUAAUGGUGACUCCAGGUUCAACAGCUGGUGUCUCUGUUCCACUCCUAUUUUUCUCCCUAGAUCUCCUUACUUUGCCCUUAUGUUCUAUUGAGAAAUUCUAAAAAUUUCUCAACAGAAGACUCAGUUGUGCGUUUUGGGUGUUCAGGUAAGCUUAUCCGUGGUGUACAUGUGUGACUUUUUUCAAUAGCAGUGUGAUUUGCACGCAUGCAGUGCACAGACCCUGGAGUUCAUAGGGCCCUGAGUCUUGGCCCAGGGAUCUAACCACAGAACCAAGUCUCUGGUCAAGAUGCAGAACACGCCCAUCAUCCUGCAAAGUUCAGCAAAAGCUCCUCUACUUUUGGACAUGGUUUACUUCUCCAGCUUCUUACUUGGGUUUUCUUGCCUAAAGGCUUGUGAAUCACCUCCUCACGUUGUCAAAGGCCCUUCCAUAGCUUCAGGAGCAGGAAUUCUGAAUUAGCUCCUUUUGCUGAUGACAUGCUUCCUUCUUUCUCUUUUUCUUUUUACAGCCACAUGUGCAGCAUAUGGAAUUUUGGGGUCUGGGGUCUAAUGUCUGCGACCAAUGCCGCCGCUUGCAGCAACAUGGGUUCCUGAAGCCACUGAGCGAGGCCAGGGGUUGAACCUGCCUCCCCGCAGACACUAUGUCAGGUUCUUAACCUGCCGAGCCACAGCAGGAACUCUGAGAACAUGAUGACAUGCUUCCUCAACGGGAAAGUUUGCUUGCUUUUUUUUCUCUCUGAAUUUUCCUGUCUCCCCCUCCCAGUGUCUCUCUCCCUAUUUCCAGCCGCCACUGGCGGUAUAUUUUAUGGUGUAGCGCUGCUGGGAGUCAGCCUCACGCAAAGGUCAUAUAAGGGUUAUGAAGGGUUCCAGAUCAGAAAUGUUUUACUGUUGUCGCUGAAAUUUAUCUUUAGAUUAUCUGACCCCUGCCAUCCCUCACAAUUUAUGUAGUGUUUGUGUGCGUAAAUGCUUUCUCCCCCUCAAAGAAUUGAGUAAAAUGUAGUAAAAGUCAGUAGUGGGAAAUUCAACUCGAUGAACACCAGCCAUUCUGGGUUUUAUUUUUAUUUUUGUUUUUACCUUUUAAUUUUUUUCUUUUCUUCUUUUAAUUUUUAAAUAUUUUUUUGGCCACACUCGUGGCAUAUGAAAGUUCCCGGGCCAGGGAUUGAAUCCUAGCUGCAGCUGCAACCUACACCGCAGCUAUAGCGAUGCCAGAUCCUUAACCCAUUGUGCCACAGCAAGAACUCCUCAGCGGGAACUCCCCACAACACCCAUUCUUGUGCAGUGGGAAUAUUGUUGCUUUUUUUCCUCUUCCCCCCCCACCCCCACAGAUAAAUGAUUCUUGGUUACUUUGAUACUCCUCAUCUUUAAUUUUAAGUCAACUGUUUAUGAGGUUUUUUUUUUUUUAAAGCCUUCCUUAGACAUAAAAGAUAUCCCUAAGUAACAUUUUAAAAGUACUGUUGAAAGUUUCUAGCCAUCAUUCUGUUUUUACUCUUUGAAUUAAUACCUGAACUCCUACUUUUGGAAUAAUAUUUCAAAUGAACAUUGGUUAUUGGAACUGUUUUAAAAAGUAUCUAAAGUGUGUUUGUUCCACCUUUCCUGUGUAUUUACACCUCUUCGAUUUUGCUUUAUGAGCAGCAAAAGCAAACUGUCACUAUUUGCUGUAAAUUGAAGCUUUUAAUAACUAUGUCUGUUCUACAACAUUUGUCAGCUUUGAAUAUUCUGUCACUAGAAAAUAAAAAUAGCAGGGGAACUCAGCAGCAGUGACACUGAGAAUUUAUGUGCUUAUGCUAAAGGAAGGUAAAAAAUAUAAUCUUGAAGGGUGAGCAUUUGGCAUUUUCCCUUCAAAUAAUGUAAAUUUGAACUGGCUCUUCCUCGAAUAAAUUUUAGAAGAGAAGUUGGCAAAAUAAAUGAAUAUUUCAUCAUUAAGCACAGAGCACCUUUUAACCUAGAAAGAAAAGAAUAAAGAGGUUAUUUCAGAUUAUUGAUUCAAUCAUAUAUGCCUUGUUUGACGUCGACCUGAAAAACAAGUUUUAUAUAUGCAUAAAAAGAAACAUGAUAGCUAGGUAGUAAAAACUUUGAUGCACAUAGCAUUUAAAUUUUUAAACUAUUUCAUAGUAAAAAUUCAUGUGCAGAAGAUCAUCUUGGAUAUGUGACAAUAAAAAAUUAAUUCAUCUAAUAAAGAUGAUUGGAAUAAAUCAAAUAUAAAUAAAUUCCGUAGUCCACAUUUUGUUAGUAAAUUGUAUGUGUCAGUUAUAAAUAUUAAAAACACGAAUGAAAUAUAUGUUAUGAAAAAUUCACUCCUUUCUCUAUUCAGAUCAGAGCACAAAAAGUUUUGCAGGACUCCUUAUUGUUGAUUUAAACUCAGUUUGGGGAGUUGCCAUUGUGGUGCAGUGGAAUCCGACUAGCAUCCAUGAGGAUGGGGGUUCCAUCCCUGGCCUCCCUCAGCGGGUCAGGGAUUAACUGUUGCCGUGCUGUGGUAUAGGUCGUAGACACGGCUCAGAUUCUGCGUUGCUGUGGCUGCAGUGUAGGCCGGCAGCUGUAACUCUGAUUCAACCCCUAGCCUGGGAACUUCCAUAUGCAGUGAGUGCAGCCCUAAAAAGCAAAAAACAAAAAACAAAACAAAACCCAACAAAACAAAAACCCCAAAACAAAAAACCUCAGUUUUGGCCAUGGUGCUUCUCUCUUUAAUGUACCUGUCAACUUGUAAGAGAUCAAAAGAUACCUUUAUCAUUAUCUUUAUCAAUAACAAUAUCAAAUACUUACGAAGCACCAGUUGUGUGCCAUGUUUGAUUAACACUGACAGUAAGUCCAGUAGUAUUUUGAGUCGGAAGAAGAGUGAUUUUAAAAUCCUGCUUAGUGGUGCUGCUGUGCAGUUUUCAUUUGAACCUCUACUGUAACAAAGAUUGAUGAAUGGGGCUAUGAACUUAUUCUCCUGUCAGCCAUGUGACAUGUCUGCCAAUAAAUGGAAUUUUUGAAAUAGUUGCAAUGAGCUGUCUUUGCUUUUAUAGAAUGGACACGCCUGCAUAUUUUAAUUUAGUUUUGUGUUAGCCUUACUCCAUUAUUACGGAUUGAGCCUGAGGGAAAGAGCAAAUGAAUUAUUGUCAAAAUCAAUGAGAUAAUUGCCUGCAUGUAAUUUUACAAAAUGCUCUGUAAGAGUGUUAUUCCAUGAUGAGAAAUGCCCGGUGUUAAUUCAGCCUUUGGAGAGCAUGGAAUUUGAAGAGCUUUAAGUCGUAAGGAUGUGUUUUGUUUGGUUCUUAAAACAAACAUCCUAAAAUAGUGUUAAAUACCAUAGAAGUUUUUGAUCGUGGUGUGUUAGGAAUUUGCUUUAUCAUGGUGUGUGAAUGGGUUUGUCUCUUUUUCCCAAUAAAUGCCCUAAUGUCUCUUAAAAUUUCAUUUCAGUCAAGAUUAAGGAGCAAUUGGAGUUCCCUUGUGGCUCAGCAGGUUAAGGAUCUGACAUUGUUGCCGCAGUGGCUUAGGUCACUGCUAGGGCUCGGGUUCAAUCCCUGGCCCUGGCAGGGAACCAGAUCAAAGCUAUGAGCACGGCAAAAAAAAAAAAAAAAAAAAAAAAAAAA